rnacentral:rRNA from 1 species
UACGUAGGGUCCGAGCGUUGUCCGGAUUUAUUGGGCGUAAAGAGCUCGUAGGCGGUUCCGUAAGUCAGAUGUGAAAUCUCAGGGCUCAACCCGGAGACGCCAUCUGAUACUGCGGUGACUGGAGUCUGGUAGGGGAACACGGAAUUCCUGGUGUAGCGGUGAAAUGCGCAGAUAUCAGGAAGAACACCAGUGGCGAAGGCGGCUCACUGGCCCGGUACUGACGCUGAGGUGCGAAAGCGUGGGGAGCAAACAGG